UAGAGUUUGAUCCUGGCUCAGGAUGAACGCUGGCGGCGUGCUUAACACAUGCAAGUCGAACGAGGUCCAUGGAGCUUGCUCCGGAAGACCUAGUGGCGAACGGGUGCGUAACACGUGAGAAACCUGCCCCGAUCUCUGGGAUAACAGUUGGAAACGACUGCUAAUACCGGAUGCCGUCCCACCGCUUCAUGGCGGAGUGACGAAAGAUUCAUCGGAUCGGGAGGGUCUCGCGGCCUAUCAGCUAGUUGGAGAGGUAACGGCUCACCAAGGCAUCGACGGGUAGCUGGUCUGAGAGGAUGAUCAGCCACACUGGGACUGAGACACGGCCCAGACUCCUACGGGAGGCAGCAGUGGGGAAUCUUGCACAAUGGGCGAAAGCCUGAUGCAGCAACGCCGCGUGCGGGAAGAAGGCCCUAGGGUUGUAAACCGCUUUCAGUAGGGAAGAAAAUGACGGUACCUACAGAAGAAGGUGCGGCCAACUACGUGCCAGCAGCCGCGGUGACACGUAGGCACCAAAGCGUUAUCCGGAUUUAUUGGGCGUAAAGAGCUCGUAGGCGGUUUGGUAAGUCGGGUGUGAAAACUCUGGGCUCAACCCAGAGAGGGCCACCCGAUACUGC
rnacentral:rRNA from 1 species